rfam:Microcoleus chthonoplastes PCC 7420 scf_1103659003808 genomic scaffold, whole genome shotgun sequence.
AAUAUGGAGAGUUUGAUCCUGGCUCAGGAUGAACGCUGGCGGUCUGCUUAACACAUGCAAGUCGAACGCAACCUUCGGGUUGAGUGGCGGACGGGUGAGUAACGCGUGAGAAUCUGCCUUGGGGUCGGGGACAACCACUGGAAACGGUGGCUAAUACCGGAUAAGCCUUCGGGUAAAAGAUUUAUUGCCCCAAGAGGAGCUCGCGUCUGAUUAGCUAGUUGGUGAGGUAAGAGCUCACCAAGGCAGCGAUCAGUAGCUGGUCUGAGAGGACGAUCAGCCACACUGGGACUGAGACACGGCCCAGACUCCUACGGGAGGCAGCAGUGGGGAAUUUUCCGCAAUGGGCGAAAGCCUGACGGAGCAAGACCGCGUGAGGGAGGAAGGCUCUUGGGUUGUAAACCUCUUUUCUCAGGGAAGAAGCUCUGACGGUACCUGAGGAAUCAGCCUCGGCUAACUCCGUGCCAGCAGCCGCGGUAAUACGGAGGAGGCAAGCGUUAUCCGGAAUUAUUGGGCGUAAAGCGUCCGCAGGUGGCGAUUCAAGUCUGCUGUCAAAGCACGGGGCUUAACUCCGUUAAGGCAGUGGAAACUGAAUAGCUAGAGUGCCGUAGGGGUAGAGGGAAUUCCCGGUGUAGCGGUGAAAUGCGUAGAGAUCGGGAAGAACAUCGGUGGCGAAAGCGCUCUACUGGACGGCAACUGACACUCAGGGACGAAAGCUAGGGGAGCGAAUGGGAUUAGAUACCCCAGUAGUCCUAGCUGUAAACGAUGGAUACUAGGUGUAGCUUGUAUCGACCCGAGCUGUGCCGAAGCUAACGCGUUAAGUAUCCCGCCUGGGGAGUACGCACGCAAGUGUGAAACUCAAAGGAAUUGACGGGGGCCCGCACAAGCGGUGGAGUAUGUGGUUUAAUUCGAUGCAACGCGAAGAACCUUACCAGGGCUUGACAUGUCCGGAACCCCGGUGAAAGCUGGGGGUGCCUUCGGGAGCCGGAACACAGGUGGUGCAUGGCUGUCGUCAGCUCGUGUCGUGAGAUGUUGGGUUAAGUCCCGCAACGAGCGCAACCCUCGUCUUUAGUUGCCAGCAUUAAGUUGGGCACUCUAGAGAGACUGCCGGUGACAAACCGGAGGAAGGUGGGGAUGACGUCAAGUCAGCAUGCCCCUUACGCUCUGGGCGACACACGUACUACAAUGGUCGGGACAGAGGGCAGCUAACCUGCGAAGGCAAGCUAAUCCCAGAAACUCGGCCUCAGUUCAGAUCGCAGGCUGCAACUCGCCUGCGUGAAGGAGGAAUCGCUAGUAAUCGCCGGUCAGAAUACGGCGGUGAAUCCGUUCCCGGGCCUUGUACACACCGCCCGUCACACCAUGGAAGCUGGCCACGCCCGAAGUCGUUACCCUAACCCUCCGGGGAGGGGGACGCCGAAGGCAGGGUUGGUGACUGGGGUGAAGUCGUAACAAGGUAGCCGUACCGGAAGGUGUGGCUGGAUCACCUCCUUU